CACGUAGGGCGCAAGCGUUGUCCGGAAUUAUUGGGCGUAAAGAGCUCGUAGGCGGUCUGUUGCGUCCGCUGUGAAAACCCAGGGCUUAACCCUGGGCUGGCAGUGGAUACGGACAGACUAGAGGUAGGUAGGGGAGAAUGGAAUUCCCGGUGUAGCGGUGAAAUGCGCAGAUAUCGGGAGGAACACCGGUGGCGAAGGCGGUUCUCUGGGCCUUACCUGACGCUGAGGCACGAAAGCGUGGGGAGCAAACAGG
rnacentral:rRNA from 1 species